UGCGUAGGUGGGCAGGUAAGUCCGCGGUGAAAUCCCCGAGCUUAACUUGGGAACUGCCGUUGAUACUAUCUGUCUUGAAUAUCGUGGAGGUAAGCGGAAUAUGUCAUGUAGCGGUGAAAUGCUUAGAGAUGACAUAGAACACCAAUUGCGAAGGCAGCUUGCUACACGAUAAUUGACACUGAGGCACGAAAGCGUGGGGAGCGAACAGGAUUAGAUACCCUGGUAGUCC
rnacentral:rRNA from 1 species